UACAGAGGUCCCAAGCGUUGUUCGGAUUCACUGGGCGUAAAGGGUGCGUAGGUGGUCGGAUAAGUUUGAUGUGAAAUCUUCGAGCUUAACUCGGAAAUGGCAUUAAAUACUAUCUGGCUGGAGGGUUGGAUGGGAGACUGGAAUUCUUGGUGUAGCAGUGAAAUGCGUAGAUAUCAAGAGGAACACCAGUGGCGAAGGCGAGUCUCUGGACAACUCCUGACACUGAGGCACGAAAGCUAGGGGAGCGAACGGG
rnacentral:rRNA from 1 species